rnacentral:rRNA from 1 species
UCGAACGAUGAACUGGAGCUUGCUCCAGGGAUUAGUGGCGAACGGGUGAGUAACACGUGAGUAACCUGCCCUUGACUCUGGGAUAAGCGCUAGAAAUGGCGUCUAAUACCGGAUACRAGCUUCMSCCGCAUGGCUAGGAGUUGGAAAGAAUUUUGGUCAAGGAUGGACUCGCGGCCUAUCAGCUAGUUGGUGAGGUAAUGGCUCACCAAGGCGACSACGGGUAGCCGGCCUGAGAGGGUGACCGGCCACACUGGGACUGAGACACGGCCCASACUCCUACGGGAGGCAGCAGUGGGGAAUAUUGCACAAUGGGCGAAAGCCUGAUGCAGCAACGCCGCGUGAGGGAUGACGGCCUUCGGGUUGUAAACCUCUUUUAGUAGGGAAGAAGCGAAAGUGACGGUACCUGCAGAAAAAGCACCGGCUAACUACGUGCCAGCAGCCGCGGUAAUACGUAGGGUGCAAGCGUUGUCCGGAAUUAUUGGGCGUAAAGAGCUCGUAGGCGGUUUGUCGCGUCUGCUGUGAAAUCUGGGGGCUCAACCCCCAGCCUGCAGUGGGUACGGGCAGACUAGAGUGCGGUAGGGGAGAUUGGAAUUCCUGGUGUAGCGGUGGAAUGCGCAGAUA